rnacentral:rRNA from 1 species
GAUGAACGCUAGCGAUAGGCCUAACACAUGCAAGUCGAGGGGCAUCACAUGAAGUAGCAAUACGGAUGGUGGCGACCGGCGCACGGGUGAGUAACACGUAUGCAACCUGCCUUCAACAAGGGGAUAACCCGUUGAAAGACGGACUAAUACCCUAUAACACAGGGGUCCCGCAUGGGAAUAUUUGUUAAAGGACAACCGGUUGAAGAUGGGCAUGCGUUCCAUUAGCUAGUUGGCGGGGUAAGGCCCACCAAGGCAACGAUGGAUAGGGGAACUGAGAGGUUUAUCCCCCACACUGGUACUGAGACACGGACCAGACUCCUACGGGAGGCAGCAGUGAGGAAUAUUGGUCAAUGGACGCAAGUCUGAACCAGCCACGUCGCGUGAAGGAAGACGGCCCUACGGGUUGUAAAACUUCUUUUAUACGGGAAUAAAGUGCCCCACGCGUGGGGUUUUGCAUGUACCGUAUGAAUAAGGAUCGGCUAACUCCGUGCCAGCAGCCGCGGUAAGUACG